rnacentral:rRNA from 1 species
GUUCUUUUGAAUUUUAUUUAAGAUUGAACCUGCCCAUUGAUUUUUACCAAUUAAAAGGCUGCGGUAUUUUAACUGUACGAAGGUAGCAUAAUAAUUUGUCUUUUAAUUGAAGGCUAGAAUGAAAGGUUUGAUGAGAAAAUAACUUUCUUUUUUUUAAUUAUUUGAAUUUAAAUUUUUAGUUAAAAUGCUAAAAUUUUUUUAUAGGACGAGAAGACCCUAUAGAAGUUUAUUUUAUUUAAAUAUAUUAUUUUUUUGUUGUUUAAAAUUUUAUAUUGAAGGUAAAAUUUUGUUGGGGUGACAUUAAAAUUUUCUUAACUUUUAAUUUUUUUUUCAUAAAUUAUUGUUUUUUUUGAUCCAAUUUUUUUGAUUAUAAGAUAAACUUACCUUAGGGAUAACAGCGUAAUUUAUUUGGAGAGUUCAUAUCGAUAAAUAAGUUUGCGA